UUCAGAGGUCCCGAGCGUUGUUCGGAUUCACUGGGCGUAAAGGGUGCGUAGGUGGUGAGGUAAGUCGGAUGUGAAAGCUCCAAGCUCAACUUGGAAAUGGCAUUGGAAACUACCUUGCUAGAGGGUUUGAGGGGGGACUGGAAUACUUGGUGUAGCAGUGAAAUGCGUAGAUAUCAAGUGGAGCACCAGUGGCGAAGGCGAGUCUCUGGACAUUUCCUGACGCUGAGGCACGAAAGCCAGGGGAGCAAACGGG
rnacentral:rRNA from 1 species